GGUUUGUGACUCAGCGGUAGAGCACUCGCCUAGCACAUGCGAGGCCCUGGGUUCGAUCCUCAGCACCA
rnacentral:tRNA from 1 species